AAAAAAUAAGAACAUAGCGUGGACUUCCUCUGGAAAUAAACUAAAUAUCGUAUAAUAACUUAUUUAUACAAGAAACCCAAACAAUGAUUGAUACAAAUUAUAUAAAAGUAUAACUAAGAAUAUACAUGUAUGUACAUAAUUUUAAUAUUGUUGGCCCUGUUUGAUAUCAUAACAAGUAUUUCAUUUCUUUUUCCUUUGAUUAUAAAAAAUGGAAAACAACACGUUAAAUAAUUUAUUGCGUCCGAAACGCUGUUCUGGAUUUACCUUCAUCAGGUAAACUACAUAUAAACUAGGUAUACGUUGAAAAUCCUAGGAAAACUU
rnacentral:lncRNA from 1 species